GCCUACCAUAGCAGUCGAGCGGUAGCACAGAGAGCUUGCUCUCGGGUGACGAGCGGCGGACGGGUGAGUAAUGUCUGGGAAACUGCCUGAUGGAGGGGGAUAACUACUGGAAACGGUAGCUAAUACCGCAUAACGUCGCAAGACCAAAGUGGGGGACCUUCGGGCCUCAUGCCAUCAGAUGUGCCCAGAUGGGAUUAGCUAGUAGGUGGGGUAACGGCUCACCUAGGCAACGAUCCCUAGCUGGUCUGAGAGGAUGACCAGCCACACUGGAACUGAGACACGGUCCAGACUCCUACGGGAGGCAGCAGUGGGGAAUAUUGCACAAUGGGCGCAAGCCUGAUGCAGCCAUGCCGCGUGUGUGAAGAAGGCCUUCGGGUUGUAAAGCACUUUCAGCGGGGAGGAAGGCGUUAAGGUUAAUAACCUUGGCGAUUGACGUUACCCGCAGAAGAAGCACCGGCUAACUCCGUGCCAGCAGCCGCGGUAAUACGGAGGGUGCAAGCGUUAAUCGGAAUUACUGGGCGUAAAGCGCACGCAGGCGGUCUGUCAAGUCGGAUGUGAAAUCCCCGGGCUCAACCUGGGAACUGCAUUCGAAACUGGCAGGCUAGAGUCUUGUAGAGGGGGGUAGAAUUCCAGGUGUAGCGGUGAAAUGCGUAGAGAUCUGGAGGAAUACCGGUGGCGAAGGCGGCCCCCUGGACAAAGACUGACGCUCACGUGCGAAAGCGUGGGGAGCAAACAGGAUUAGAUACCCUGGUAGUCCACGCCGUAAACGAUGUCGAUUUGGGAGGUUGUGCCCUUGAGGCGUGGCUUCCGGAGCUAACGCGUUAAAUCGACCGCCUGGGGGAGUACGGCCGCAAGGUUAAAACUCAGAUGAAUUGACGGGGGCCCGCACAAGCGGUGGAACCAUGUUGUUUUAAUUCGAUGCAACGCGAAGAACCUUACCUGGUCUUGACAUCCACAGAACUUUCAAAAAAAUGGAUUGGUGCCUUCGGGAACUGUGAAACAGGUGCUGCAUGGCUGUCGUCACCUCCUGUUGUAAAAAAGUUUGGGGUUAAAUCCCCCCAACGAGCGCAACCCUUUUUCUUUUGUUGCCAGCGGUUCGGCCGGGAAAUCAAAAGAAACUGCCAUGAUAAAUUGAAGGAA
rnacentral:rRNA from 1 species